UCCUCCGCUUAUUGAUAUGCUUAAGUUCAGCGGGUAGUCCUACCUGAUUUGAGGUCAGAUCACAAAUUGAAGUUGACCGCCACUCCAGAGGCUGGUCUUGGAGGGGCGCUAAGCUCGCGAGCCAUCCAGCGACGAGGUUGAUACAACGCCAAGGGACAAGCCACACGAAAGCCCGACCGAUUCAUUUAAGGGGAGCCGCCAGAGGCAGCAAAACCCCCAAGUCCAAACCCACUCCAGCAGAAACCAGAGGGGUUUGAUGAUUUCAAGACACUCAAACAGGCAUGCUCCUCGGAAUACCAA
rnacentral:misc_RNA from 1 species